UCCUACGGGAGGCAGCAGUGGGGAAUAUUGCACAAUGGGCGGAAGCCUGAUGCAGCAACGCCGCGUGCGGGAUGACGGCCUUCGGGUUGUAAACCGCUUUCGCCUGUGACGAAGCGUGAGUGACGGUAAUGGGUAAAGAAGCACCGGCUAACUACGUGCCAGCAGCCGCGGUGAUACGUAGGGUGCGAGCGUUGUCCGGAUUUAUUGGGCGUAAAGGGCUCGUAGGUGGUUGAUCGCGUCGGAAGUGUAAUCUUGGGGCUUAACCCUGAGCGUGCUUUCGACACGGGUUGACUUGAGGAAGGUAGGGGAGAAUGGAAUUCCUGGUGGAGCGGUGGAAUGCGCAGAUAUCAGGAGGAACACCAGUGGCGAAGGCGGUUCUCUGGGCCUUUCCUGACGCUGAGGAGCGAAAGCGUGGGGAGCGAACAGGCUUAGAUACCCUGGUAGUCCACGCUGUAAACGGUGGGUACUAGGUGUGGGGUCCAUUCCACGGGUUCCGUGCCGUAGCUAACGCUUUAAGUACCCCGCCUGGGGAGUACGGCCGCAAGGCUAAAACUCAAAGGAAUUGACGGA
rnacentral:rRNA from 1 species